rnacentral:misc_RNA from 1 species
UGGUUCUGGCAUCGAUGAAGAACGCAGCGAAAUGCGAUAAGUAAUGUGAAUUGCAGAAUUUAGUGAAUCAUCGAGUUUUUGAACGCACAUUGCGCCUUAUGGUAUUCCGUAAGGCACAUCUGUUCGAGCGUCAUUACAACCAUCAAACUUUUAGUUUGGAGAUGAAUGUAUGUUGAAAGACACAUUCAAAACACAUUAACAGUCCUGAAAUGGUCUCAAGUGAAUUUAUGCUAUUGCAUCUCUUGAAGAUUAUUCCAGGAACUUUGAAAUUUUUACGGUUGACCUCGGAUCAGAUGGGGAUACGCGCUGA